CGACGGGGAGGUUUGGCACCUCGAUGUCGGCUCAUCGCAUCCUGGGGCUGUAGUCGGUCCCAAGGGUUGGGCUGUUCGCCCAUUAAAGCGGUACGCGAGCUGGGUUCAGAACGUCGUGAGACAGUUCGGUCCCUAUCCGUCGUGGGCGUAGGAAAUUUGAGAGGAGCUGUCCUUAGUACGAGAGGACCGGGAUGGACAUACCUCUGGUGUACCAGUUGUCGUGCCAACGGCAUAGCUGGGUAGCUAUGUGUGGACGGGAUAAGUGCUGAAAGCAUCUAAGCAUGAAGCCCCCCUCAAGAUGAGAUUUCCCAACUUCGGUUAUAAGAUCCCUCAAAGAUGAUGAGGUUAAUAGGUUCGAGGUGGAAGCAUGGUGACAUGUGGAGCUGACGAAUACUAA
rnacentral:rRNA from 1 species